rnacentral:misc_RNA from 1 species
CCGAGUUUACAACUCCCAAACCCAAUGUGAACGUUACCAAACUGUUGCCUCGGCGGGAUUUCUGCCCCGGGCGCGUCGCAGCCCCGGACCAAGGCGCCCGCCGGAGGACCAAUUUACAAACUCUUUGUAUGUCCCCCUGCGGAUUUUUAUUAUACAUUCUGAGCUUUCUCGGCGCUCCUAGCGAGCGUUUCGAAAAUGAAUCA